rnacentral:rRNA from 1 species
AAUAGAUACCCGGGUAGUCCACGCCGUAAACGAUGUCGACUUGGAGGUUGUUCCCUUGAGGAGUGGCUUCCGGAGCUAACGCGUUAAGUCGACCGCCUGGGGAGUACGGCCGCAAGGUUAAAACUCAAAUGAAUUGACGGGGGCCCGCACAAGCGGUGGAGCAUGUGGUUUAAUUCGAUGCAACGCGAAGAACCUUACCUACUCUUGACAUCCAGAGAACUUUCCAGAGAUGGAUUGGUGCCUUCGGGAACUCUGAGACAGGUGCUGCAUGGCUGUCGUCAGCUCGUGUUGUGAAAUGUUGGGUUAAGUCCCGCAACGAGCGCAACCCUUAUCCUUUGUUGCCAGCGGUUAGGCCGGGAACUCAAAGGAGACUGCCAGUGAUAAACUGGAGGAAGGUGGGGAUGACGUCAAGUCAUCAUGGCCCUUACGAGUAGGGCUACACACGUGCUACAAUGGCGCAUACAAAGAGAAGCGACCUCGCGAGAGCAAGCGGACCUCAUAAAGUGCGUCGUAGUCCGGAUUGGAGU